rnacentral:rRNA from 1 species
UUCGAACUUAGAAGAUAGCUGGUUGUUCAAUAAACGGAUAUUAGUCCAACUUUAAGUCUCUACAUAAUCCCAAAUACCCACACAGACUUAAAUUCCAUUCAAAUAAGGUACAGCCUAUUUGAAACAGGAUACAACCUUCGAUCCAGGGUAAUGUCUUAUCAACCUGACCAAGUAGGCCUAAAAGCAGCCACCUUUCAAAAAGCGUUACAGCUUCAUCAUAUUCCCCAUCAAUUCCCACCACCCCCCCAAAACCCGCUCCCAAUACUGAACGACUCCAUACUAUUAUGGAAAACUUUAUGUUAGAACUAGUAACAAGAAUAAUAUUCUCCAAAAGUAAGUACACGCCAGAACGAACUCUCACCGGCACCUAUCGUCAAUGAACUCAAAGUGGCAACCACACAAGAAAACCCCACUACAUCCCAUACAACGUUAACCUUACACCAGAACUUUUUCGGAAAGAUUAAAAGAAUGGGAAGGAACUCGGCAAAUAUUAAUCCCGCCUGUUUACCAAAAACAUUCGC